CAUCAUUAUAACUACUUCUUACCAAUAAGGAUUGUAUUAAGUACAAUGGUCAUGAAAUACGAGACCGAGUUGAGAGUAUCAUGGGGUUUAGUGUCACUAUUGAAAAUUUAGAAUACAUAAUUAUAAAUACAGUUGGUCGUCAAGGAUUCCCCACAAAGGAUGGAAUAAACGUUAAGCAAUUACCGGGUGAAACGAGUGAUUACAGUAAAUGACACAUGCUGAUAACUCCUAAGUGUGUGCGGCAUACACUGACGGAAGGUUCGGAACUCUCUGUGAAAAUUAGAAAAUAUUGGAAAAUGUCUGCAGACCACUAUGAAGCAAAUAAUAUCAGAUCUGAACUGGUAGAAAUAAUUAAAUGGACCUUCCAAACGAACAGAAGCGUCAACCUGGCGACGAGCCUUCGGGAGAAUUCGUGGAAUAAUUCGCUCAAGAUACGCCGAAAAGGAAGAGGAAUUAUUUCCAAGACGAAUGUAGAUACCGACUUACCUUC